UAUAUAUAUGUAUGUAUGUAUGUAUGUAUGUAUGUAUUGUUUAAUUCCGCAAGUGAUCUUAAUAACAUAAAUACUUAGAUUAGAUAUUAAUUUUUUCGUCUUAAUUUUGAAAGGAAUUUUUAAUAUUGUUACUUUAAGAGUUUUAUCAUUAAGAAUAUUUUGUAAUAUAUGUCCUUAGUAUAAUGUUUUCAAUUUUAAGUUUGAUGCACAUUAUUUUUAUGUAAAAAAAAGUAAAAAAAACAUUUUUAUUACAGUACAAGAAAAUAUUUUUUUUCUUUUUUCUCUUUUUUUUUUUUUUUUUUUUUCUAUGAUAGCAUGAUAUGUGAUAUUUAUCCUUGGGAUCUCUUCAAGAUCAUUAGUUUUUGUUUUGUUUUGUUUACCUGUGUUACUGUGUGGACGAUUUACAUCAAUUCAGUAUUGUUUAACUGUUUGACAGUUUGAUUUUUUGGCGACUUUUCAGCACCGCGUGUGUUUGAGUGCAGUGUUUGUACACCACUGUCCUGUGCAUGUGGCACGGAUUCAUUUUUAGCCAUGUGAUCUCCUCAAAUAUUUACUUUAUUGUUUCAUGUUGUUGUUGUGUUGCUACAUGGACAAAUCUUAUCUUCAUUCAGUAUUGUUUAGUUUUCACACACAAUUUUUCAGUAAGAAGUUAAUUGGUGUAUUAUUUGUACAUCGCUCUAAUGUAUAUAAGAUAACGCGUGGUGCGGACAGCUGUUAACCUUCAUAGUCUUAAACGUUCCGGCGUCAUACCCUCGACUUGUCAACAGGCGUCAUACCCUCGACUUGUCAACAGGCGUCAUACCCUCGACUUGUUUAACUGGCGUCAUACCCUCGACUUGUUAACAGGUGCUGGCGGAGGCUGUACAGGUUUUCAAGAGUGUUUUCAUGAUUUCACUGAUAACUUACCGAGCAUUUUGCACUCAGUAGAGAAAACGCCCGUCAGAACACGUCAGAUCAUAUCCUUAGUCACUGGGAAAAAAUAGAGAUAGAACAGUAUUUUAAAACGUUUGGGCGCCCUGUCUUGAUUGUCUUGAUCCUUGUGAUGAGUUACCAAGCAUUCUGCACUGUCAGUGGAGGAAACACCCUUGAGAACACGUCAGAUCGUAUGUUCAGCCAUUAAAAGUAGGAGAGACAUGCAUUUCGACAUGACUCAGAGUAAAACGAAAAAAAAAAAAAGUAAAAAAAAAAAAAAAAAAUUCCGUAAUUAAGAAAAGCGACAAAAGAAAAAAAAAAAAAGAAAUAGAGAAGACUUGAACUAAAAAAAAAACCUACUUGUGAAAUUAAAGUUAAUACGAAAAAUCUAAUCUUGACUCUUACCUUGACACUGAAAAAAAAAAAAAACAUUAUUAUUAUUAUUUUCUAAGCACUACAAGCAUUUCAAAGUGAGCAUAGCACGAAAAUAAUAUCUAAUAACAUAAAGGUAUUGAAAGAGAAAAGUUUAAAACGCUGCCUAACUUAAAACCCAACGUACGGUUACAGGACGCGCUUAGUACGAGAGCUACCUAUAUAAGGAACGUCUAAGGGUACGAAGGUCAGUCUGCCACGCGCGGUGCUCAAGGUGACAUGUCGCUGCUGUGUCUCGGUGACUCAUUGCUACUUGCUGUGAUGGUUCAGGUGAUUAGAAAGCUGUGUGUGUGUGUGUGUGUGUGUGUGAGAGAGAGAGAGAGGACUGAAGAAAAAGAUGAAAAUAUAUUGAAGAGGAGAAGGAAAUAGAGAAAGAAAAUGAUGAAGAAGAGAAGGGAAUAAAGAAAACAAAGAACGAAGAAAAGAAGAAGAAGAAAGAAAAUAAAGAAAAUAGAGACAAGAACAGAAAAUAAAGAAAAAAAGUGAAAGUGAGAAAGUGAGCGAGUUACACACACACACACACACACACACACACACACACACACACACACACACACACACACACACACACACACACACACAUACACACACACACACACACACACACACACACACACA